GUGUGACUGCGUACCUUUUGUAUAAUGGGUCAGCGACUUAUAUUCUGUAGCAAGGUUAACCGAAUAGGGGAGCCGAAGGGAAACCGAGUCUUAACUGGGCGUUAAGUUGCAGGGUAUAGACCCGAAACCCGGUGAUCUAGCCAUGGGCAGGUUGAAGGUUGGGUAACACUAACUGGAGGACCGAACCGACUAAUGUUGAAAAAUUAGCGGAUGACUUGUGGCUGGGGGUGAAAGGCCAAUCAAACCGGGAGAUAGCUGGUUCUCCCCGAAAGCUAUUUAGGUAGCGCCUCGUGAAUUCAUCUCCGGGGGUAGAGCACUGUUUCGGCAAGGGGGUCAUCCCGACUUACCAACCCGAUGCAAACUGCGAAUACCGGAGAAUGUUAUCACGGGAGACACACGGCGGGUGCUAACGUCCGUCGUGAAGAGGGAAACAACCCAGACCGCCAGCUAAGGUCCCAAAGUCAUGGUUAAGUGGGAAACGAUGUGGGAAGGCCCAGACAGCCAGGAUGUUGGCUUAGAAGCAGCCAUCAUUUAAAGAAAGCGUAAUAGCUCACUGGUCGAGUCGGCCUGCGCGGAAGAUGUAACGGGGCUAAACCAUGCACCGAAGCUGCGGCAGCGACGCUUAUGCGUUGUUGGGUAGGGGAGCGUUCUGUAAGCCUGCGAAGGUGUGCUGUGAGGCAUGCUGGAGGUAUCAGAAGUGCGAAUGCUGACAUAAGUAACGAUAAAGCGGGUGAAAAGCCCGCUCGCCGGAAGACCAAGGGUUCCUGUCCAACGUUAAUCGGGGCAGGGUGAGUCGACCCCUAAGGCGAGGCCGAAAGGCGUAGUCGAUGGGAAACAGGUUAAUAUUCCUGUACUUGGUGUUACUGCGAAGGGGGGACGGAGAAGGCUAUGUUGGCCGGGCGACGGUUGUCCCGGUUUAAGCGUGUAGGCUGGUUUUCCAGGCAAAUCCGGAAAAUCAAGGCUGAGGCGUGAUGACGAGGCACUACGGUGCUGAAGCAACAAAUGCCCUGCUUCCAGGAAAAGCCUCUAAGCAUCAGGUAACAUCAAAUCGUACCCCAAACCGACACAGGUGGUCAGGUAGAGAAUACCAAGGCGCUUGAGAGAACUCGGGUGAAGGAACUAGGCAAAAUGGUGCCGUAACUUCGGGAGAAGGCACGCUGAUAUGUAGGUGAAGUCCCUCGCGGAUGGAGCUGAAAUCAGUCGAAGAUACCAGCUGGCUGCAACUGUUUAUUAAAAACACAGCACUGUGCAAACACGAAAGUGGACGUAUACGGUGUGACGCCUGCCCGGUGCCGGAAGGUUAAUUGAUGGGGUUAGCGCAAGCGAAGCUCUUGAUCGAAGCCCCGGUAAACGGCGGCCGUAACUAUAACGGUCCUAAGGUAGCGAAAUUCCUUGUCGGGUAAGUUCCGACCUGCACGAAUGGCGUAAUGAUGGCCAGGCUGUCUCCACCCGAGACUCAGUGAAAUUGAACUCGCUGUGAAGAUGCAGUGUACCCGCGGCAAGACGGAAAGACCCCGUGAACCUUUACUAUAGCUUGACACUGAACAUUGAGCCUUGAUGUGUAGGAUAGGUGGGAGGCUUUGAAGUGUGGACGCCAGUCUGCAUGGAGCCGACCUUGAAAUACCACCCUUUAAUGUUUGAUGUUCUAACGUUGACCCGUAAUCCGGGUUGCGGACAGUGUCUGGUGGGUAGUUUGACUGGGGCGGUCUCCUCCUAAAGAGUAACGGAGGAGCACGAAGGUUGGCUAAUCCUGGUCGGACAUCAGGAGGUUAGUGCAAUGGCAUAAGCCAGCUUGACUGCGAGCGUGACGGCGCGAGCAGGUGCGAAAGCAGGUCAUAGUGAUCCGGUGGUUCUGAAUGGAAGGGCCAUCGCUCAACGGAUAAAAGGUACUCCGGGGAUAACAGGCUGAUACCGCCCAAGAGUUCAUAUCGACGGCGGUGUUUGGCACCUCGAUGUCGGCUCAUCACAUCCUGGGGCUGAAGUAGGUCCCAAGGGUAUGGCUGUUCGCCAUUUAAAGUGGUACGCGAGCUGGGUUUAGAACGUCGUGAGACAGUUCGGUCCCUAUCUGCCGUGGGCGCUGGAGAACUGAGGGGGGCUGCUCCUAGUACGAGAGGACCGGAGUGGACGCAUCACUGGUGUUCGGGUUGUCAUGCCAAUGGCACUGCCCGGUAGCUAAAUGCGGAAGAGAUAAGUGCUGAAAGCAUCUAAGCACGAAACUUGCCCCGAGAUGAGUUCUCCCUGACUCCUUGAGAGUCCUGAAGGAACGUUGAAGACGACGACGUUGAUAGGCCGGGUGUGUAAGCGCAGCGAUGCGUUGAGCUAACCGGUACUAAUGAACCGUGAGGCUUAACCUU
rnacentral:rRNA from 3 species